rnacentral:rRNA from 1 species
UACGGAGGGUGCGAGCGUUGUCCGGAAUCACUGGGCGUAAAGGGUGCGUAGGCGGUCUGUUGCGUCCGCUGUGAAAACUCGGGGCUUAACCCCGAGCCUGCAGUGGAUACGGGCAGACUAGAGGUAGGUAGGGGAGAAUGGAAUUCCCCGGUGUAGCGGUGAAAUGCGCAGAUAUCGGGAGGAACACCGGUGGCGAAGGCGGCAUCCUGGACCGGUAUUGACGCUGAUGCGCGAAAGCGUGGGGAGCAAACAGG